CCCAUCACCACCCCCCUUCUCUCUCUCUCUCUCUCUCUCUCUCUCCCCUACCUUCUUGGACCAAAUUUGCAAUCCCCCUCCCCAAUCAAAGCCGCUACCCCUUCUCCCUAACCCCAGAUCCCCACCCCACCCCACCUCCCCGACCCAAACCACCCUCCACAUCAGUUGAUAAAAUAAAAAAAAUUAAAUAAUCAAUUAACAUUGUCUUUGGUGCAGGUUUUGGUAUCGACAGGCAUUUAGUUUUGCUUUCUUUCCUUCAUUGUCAGUACUUUUGUCAUUUUUCCGACCUUCCAAUUACAUGUGGGUCGUCAGAUCUCGAUCUUGCCGAUCCAGGGUCGAGGAAAGGAGGGUGGUUUUGGGUCAAAGAGGUAGGGUGGGGAUCUAGGAUCGUGGAGGAGGCGCAUCUACUCUAGAUCGGAAGGGGGGCUACGAAUUUGGUUUAGGAAUGGGAGAGAGAGAGAGAGAGAGAGAGAGAGAAGGUGAUGGGCGGUGGAAGUGGGGUGGGUGAGUUUAUUUGGAAAUUUGAUUGAAGAAGAAGAUUGAUGUCUUGGUUGUUAGGGGUU
rnacentral:lncRNA from 1 species